UACGUAGGGUGCAAGCGUUGUCCGGAAUUAUUGGGCGUAAAGAGCUCGUAGGCGGCUUGUCGCGUCGGCUGUGAAAACCUAGGGCUCAACCCUGGGCUUGCAGCCGAUACGGGCAAGCUAGAAUUCGGUAGGGGAGACUGGAAUUCCACGUGUAGCGGUGAAAUGCGUAGAGGUGUGGAGGAACACCAAUGGCGAAGGCAGCCUCCUGGGCCAAUACUGACACUCAUGCACGAAAGCGUGGGGAGCAAACAGG
rnacentral:rRNA from 1 species